rnacentral:rRNA from 1 species
CCUACGGGGGGCAGCAGUAGGGAAUCUUCCACAAUGGGCGAAAGCCUGAUGGAGCAACGCCGCGUGGGUGAAGAAGGUCUUCGGAUCGUAAAACCCUGUUGUUAGAGAAGAAAGGGCGUGAGAGUAACUGUUCACGUUUCGACGGUAUCUAACCAGAAAGCCACGGCUAACUACGUGCCAGCAGCUGCGGUAAUACGUAGGUGGCAAGCGUUAUCCGGAUUUAUUGGGCGUAAAGGGAACGCAGGCGGUCUUUUAAGUCUGAUGGGAAAGCCUUCGGCUUAACCGGAGUAGUGCAUUGGAAACUGGGAGACUUGAGUGCAGAAGAGGAGAGUGGAACUCCAUGUGUAGCGGUGAAAUGCGUAGAUAUAUGGAAGAACACCAGUGGCGAAAGCGGCUCUCUGGUCUGUAACUGACGCUGAGGUUCGAAAGCGUGGGUAGCAAACAGGAUUAGAUACCCCUGUAGUC